CGUUGACCGGUCGUCAGUAAGCUCUCAGACUCACAGGAGAGGAUCAGCCACCGAGUUUCUGUCUCUUCAAUGGAGCCUGGCUGCAAUGUAGCCAUUUCUUUGAUCAGAACAAGAGUAAGGUUUGGGAGGAGAAGAGAAUUAUUACAAGUCGUCCCCACUUACCUGUCACUGCAGCCUGGGGACCCUGUCUCAAGUGAAAAGAACAAAAAUAACUGCUCUCCAAGACUGACUUCCCAGCAUGGCAUUGAUCUUCAUUAUGUGGGAUUUUGAAUUUGUCAUUGUCAGCUCACUAGAAGGAGACUUUAUAUUCUUAUCCUCCCUCACUUUAAAUUGAUCCUUUCUCUCAUCCUCUCUUGGGAGGAAAAUGAAGCCCAUUGAUUGAUAAAAAUUGAAGAAAGUAAUUGGUAUUAGUAUUAAAGGGACCACAAAUAGUUUGGAAAAAAAUGGCAAUUGCUACUUGCUUCUUCCUACUAAAACAUACCACAGCUAAAGCGACUGAGCUUUUAGAGUAUGGCCU
rnacentral:lncRNA from 10 species